UACCGGGCCGGGGGACUGGCCGUCCGGGGUGACGCCGUGGUCGUCACGGUCAACUACCGGCUGGGGAUCUUCGGCCUGUUCGGCCAUCCGGAGCUCGGCGG
rnacentral:tRNA from 1 species